rnacentral:rRNA from 1 species
ACUCCUACGGGAGGCAGCAGUGGGAAGUUUUGGAUCAAUGGGCGCAAGCCUGAUCCAGCCAUGCCGCGUGCGGGAAGAAGGCCUUCGGGUUGUAAACCGCUUUUGUCAGGGAAGAAAAGCUCUGGGCUAAUACCUCGGAGUGAUGACGGUACCUGAAGAAUAAGCACCGGCUAACUACGUGCCAGCAGCCGCGGUAAUACGUAGGGUGCGAGCGUUAAUCGGAAUUACUGGGCGUAAAGCGUGCGCAGGCGGUUGUGCAAGACAGAUGUGAAAUCCCGCCU